CUGGCGCUGCUACCAUGCAAGUCGUACGCGAAAGUCCUUCGGGAUGAGUAAAGUGGCGCACGGGUGAGUUAUGCAUAGGAACGUGCCUUUUGGAGGGGGAUAACCACGGGAAACUGUGGCUAAUACCGCGUAAUCUCGCGAGAGUAAAGGUGGCCUCUACUUGUAAGCUACCGCCGAAAGAGCGGCCUAUGUCCCAUUAGCUAGUUGGUGGGGUAAUAGCCUACCAAGGCAACGAUGGGUAGCUGGUCUGAGAGGACGAUCAGCCACACUGGAACUGAGACACGGUCCAGACUCCUACGGGAGGCAGCAGUGGGGAAUAUUGCACAAUGGGCGAAAGCCUGAUGCAGCAACGCCGCGUGAGUGAAGAAGGCCUUCGGGUUGUAAAGCUCUUUCGCCAGGGAAUAAGGGUGAGUGGGUAAAUAAUCCAAUCAUCUGACGGUACCUGGAUAAGAAGCACCGGCUAAUUCCGUGCCAGCAGCCGCGGUAAUACGGAAGGUGCGAGCGUUGUUCGGAAUUACUGGGCGUAAAGGGCGCGUAGGCGGAUCUGUAAGUCGAUUGGGAAAUCCCCGGGCUUAACCUGGGAAUUGCAGUCGAAACUACAGACCUUGAAUGUCAGAGAGGGUGGGGGAAUUCCUGGUGUAGAAGUGAAAUUCGUAGAUAUCAGGAGGAACACCGGAGGCGAAAGCGCCUACCUGGCUGUGCAUUGACGCUGAGGCGCGAAAGCGUGGGGAGCAAACAGGAUUAGAUACCCUGGUAGUCCACGCCAUAACGAUGGAUACUAGUGUUCGAAGUGUUAACCCUUUGAGUACCGAAGUUCACGCAUUAAGUAU
rnacentral:rRNA from 1 species